rnacentral:rRNA from 1 species
CCUACGGGUGGCAGCAGUGAGGAAUAUUGGUCAAUGGACGCAAGUCUGAACCAGCCAUGCCGCGUGCAGGAAGACGGCUCUAUGAGUUGUAAACUGCUUUUGUACGAGGGUAAACGCAGAUACGCGUAUCUGUCUGAAAGUAUCCUACGAAUAAGGAUCGGCUAACUCCGUGCCAGCAGCCGCGGUAAUACGGAGGAUUCAAGCGUUAUCCGGAUUUAUUGGGUUUAAAGGGUGCGUAGGCGGUCGGAUAAGUUAGAGGUGAAAUCCCGAGGCUCAACUUCGGAAUUGCCUCUGAUACUGUUCGGCUAGAGAGUAGUUGAGGUAGGCGGAAUGUAUGGUGUAGCGGUGAAAUGCUUAGAGAUCAUACAGAACACCGAUUGCGAAGGCAGCUUACCAGGCUACUUCUGACGUUGAGGCACGAAAGCGUGGGGAGCGAACAGGAUUAGAUACCCCUGUAGUC